AUUGAACGCUGGCGGCAGGCCUAACACAUGCAAGUCGAGCGGAUGAAGGGAGCUUGCUCCUGGAUUCAGCGGCGGACGGGUGAGUAAUGCCUAGGAAUCUGCCUGGGAGUGGGGGAUAACGUCCGCAAACGGGCGCUAAUACCGCAUACGUCCUGAGGGAGAAAGUGGGGGAUCUUCGGACCUCACGCUAUCAGAUGAGCCUAGGUCGGAUUAGCUAGUUGGUGGGGUAAAGGCCUACCAAGGCGACGAUCCGUAACUGGUCUGAGAGGAUGAUCAGUCACACUGGAACUGAGACACGGUCCAGACUCCUACGGGAGGCAGCAGUGGGGAAUAUUGGACAAUGGGCGAAAGCCUGAUCCAGCCAUGCCGCGUGUGUGAAGAAGGUCUUCGGAUUGUAAAGCACUUUAAGUUGGGAGGAAGGGCAGUAAGUUAAUACCUUGCUGUUUUGACGUUACCAGCAGAAUAAGCACCGGCUAACUUCGUG
rnacentral:rRNA from 1 species